GAUGAACGCUGGCGGCGUGCCUAAUACAUGCAAGUCGAGCGAACAGACGAGGAGCUUGCUCCUCUGACGUUAGCGGCGGACGGGUGAGUAACACGUGGAUAACCUACCUAUAAGACUGGGAUAACUUCGGGAAACCGGAGCUAAUACCGGAUAAUAUAUUGAACCGCAUGGUUCAAUAGUGAAAGACGGUUUUGCUGUCACUUAUAGAUGGAUCCGCGCCGCAUUAGCUAGUUGGUAAGGUAACGGCUUACCAAGGCAACGAUGCGUAGCCGACCUGAGAGGGGGAUAGGCCACACGGGAAAUGAGACACGGGCCAAACCCAUACGGGAGGCAGGAGGAGGGAAUUUUCCGCAAGGGGGGAAAGCCUGACGGAGAAACGCGGGGGGGGGGAAGAAGGUCUUGGGAUCGUAAAACUUUUUUAUUAGGGAAAAAAAAAUGUGUAAGUAACUAGGCACGUCUUGACGGUACCAAAUCAGAAAGCAACGGCUAACUAAGU
rnacentral:rRNA from 1 species